CCUACGGGGGGCAGCAGUGGGGGAUAUUGCACAAUGGGGGAAACCCUGAUGCAGCGACGCCGCGUGUGGGAAGACGGUCCUCUGGAUUGUAAACCACUGUCCCCAGGGACGAAGAUGACGGUACCUGGGGAGGAAGCUCCGGCUAACUACGUGCCAGCAGCCGCGGUAAUACGUAGGGAGCGAGCGUUGUCCGGAAUUACUGGGUGUAAAGGGAGCGUAGGCGGGACUGCAAGUUGGGUGUAAAAUCUACCGGCUCAACCGGUAGCCGCACUUAAAACUGCAGUUCUUGAGUGAAGUAGAGGCAGGCUGAAUUUCUAGGGGAGGGGUGAAAUGCGGAGAUAUUAGGAGGAACACCAGUGGCGAAGGGGGCCUGCUGGGCUUUUACUGACGGUGAGGCUCGAAAGUGUGGGGGGCAAACAGGAUUAGAUACCCGUGUAGUC
rnacentral:rRNA from 1 species